GACCAUCGUGUUUGUGUGUUGAGUGUUUGUGUCACAACGAGGUAAAUUUGGUCAACAGCUCAUGCUCCGGCAUCGGCUGCUGCCGAGCCUCCUCCAUCCCCAAGGACCUGGCAUUCUAUGAGGUCUGGUUUGAUUCAAAUUUCAGCAGCUCGAGCAUCUGGAACUUCGGUCGCUGCAGCUAUGCCGUAUUGUUGGAGGCAAAUCGGUUUGAGUUCCUAACAUCUUACAUCACGACGGACCGAUUCUUGAACGACAGCAGCAGCAAGGCGCCUUUGGUGGUGGAUUGGUAGAUCGGAAACGAGACAUGCGAGGUAGCACAGCGCAACAUAACAUCCUACGCCUGCAUCAGCGAGCACAGCGAGUGUUUGAACUCUUCCAAUGGUCCUGGGUAUCUUUGUAACUGUUCCGAGUGGUUACCAUGGCAAUCCUUAUGUCGCUCUUGGCUGCCAAGACAUCGACGAAUGGUCUGAUAAAGAUCAAAAUCCUUGCCAUGGCAUCUGCCAGAACCUGCCCGGUAGCUGUGAUGCUUUCAAUGGACCAUGCACCCAACACCAGAAACUUCAAUCAUCAGCGAAGGUGGCUAUAGGUAAGAGUCUUUUUUCCACCAUGACUUUCAUCUUUGUCGAGGAUCUCAUUACACAUUUGAUGCCUAGUAUUACAAAUAAAUUCUUUUGUUCCCUUUCUUUUCAUGAAUUCUAUUUAUUGCUUCAAAUCC